UAGAGAGCCACUUUGCAUCAGCAGCACCAUGCUCCAGUGCUCUGGGAGACUUUAUAGUCCUGAGAGUUGAACACUGGAGGACUGACAGCUGUCCUCCAUGACAACAGAAGACACAGAAAUCCUCCUCAUCAGAAACAUGACUCGGACCUCCGUCCUCAUCUGGACUCUCCUCUGCUGCUGCUUCUCAGAGUCCAGAGGUCAGGUCACAGUGACUCAGCCUGGAGCAGUGAGCUCUGCUCGGGGAGCCUCCAUCUCCAUCAGCUGUAGGACCAGUCAAGAUGUUUAUUAUGUGACUGUCCAUGACCAAUUUUGGUACCAACAUAAAUAUGGAGAAGCACCUAAACUGCUCAUCUACUAUGCCAAUAGACGAGCAUCAGGGAUUUCUAGUCGAUUUUCAGGCAGUGGAUCAAAGUCUGACUUCACUCUGACCAUCAGUGGAGUUGAGGCUGAAGAUGCAGCAGUUUAUUACUGUCAGAGUCGUCAUAAGAUCAACAGUCAGGAUGUGUUCACACAGUAAAAAAUCGUCGUACAAAAACCUCCCUCAG